rnacentral:rRNA from 1 species
AGGAAGGAAUGGGGCAACGGUAGGUCAGCAUGCCCCGAAUUAUCUGGGCUACACGCGGGCUACAAUGGGUGGGACAAUGGGUAUCGACACCGAAAGGUGAAGGCAAUCUCCUAAACCCAUCCGUAGUUCGGAUUGUGGGCUGCAACUCGCCCACAUGAAGCUGGAAUCUGUAGUAAUCGUGUCUCAAAAUGGCACGGUGAAUAUGUCCCUGCUCCUU